AUGAACGCUGGCGGCGUGCCUAAUACAUGCAAGUCGAGCGAACGGACGAGAAGCUUGCUUCUCUGAUGUUAGCGGCGGACGGGUGAGUAACACGUGGAUAACCUACCUAUAAGACUGGGAUAACUUCGGGAAACCGGAGCUAAUACCGGAUAAUAUUUUGAACCGCAUGAUUCAAAAGUGAAAGACGGUCUUGCUGUCACUUAUAGAUGGAUCCGCGCUGCAUUAGCUAGUUGGUAAGGUAACGGCUUACCAAGGCAACGAUGCAUAGCCGACCUGAGAGGGUGAUCGGCCACACUGGAACUGAGACACGGUCCAGACUCCUACGGGAGGCAGCAGUAGGGAAUCUUCCGCAAUGGGCGAAAGCCUGACGGAGCAACGCCGCGUGAGUGAUGAAGGUCUUCGGAUCGUAAAACUCUGUUAUUAGGGAAGAACAUAUGUGUAAGUAACUGUGCACAUCUUGACGGUACCUAAUCAGAAAGCCACGGCUAACUACGUG
rnacentral:rRNA from 1 species